GCAGUAGCCGCGGGAAUACAGAGGGUGCAAGCGUUAAUCGGAAUUACUGGGCGUAAAGCGCGCGUAGGUGGUUUGUUAAGUUGGAUGUGAAAUCCCCGGGCUCAACCUGGGAACUGCAUCCAAAACUGGCAAGCUAGAGUAUGGUAGAGGGUGGUGGAAUUUCCUGUGUAGCGGUGAAAUGCGUAGAUAUAGGAAGGAACACCAGUGGCGAAGGCGACCACCUGGGCUCAUACUGACGCUGAUGCACGAAAGCUAGGGGAGCAAACAGGAUUAGAUACCCCAGUAGUCCCUGUCUCUUAUCU
rnacentral:rRNA from 1 species